rnacentral:rRNA from 1 species
AAUCAUAAAUAUUAAAUUAUUUUGGUUUAUAUUAAAUUUUAUAUCUUUUUAAAUUUAAAAUUAGUAUUGUUUGGUGGAAUAUCAAUAUUUUAUUUUAUUAAUUGGAUUAUUAUAUAUGAAAGUUAUUUUUAAGACUAGGAUUAGAUACCCUAUUAUUUUAAUUGUAAAUUUUAAAACCUAAUUAUUAAUAGAUAAGAUCUUUAAAUUUAAAGGAUUUGGCGGUAAUUUAGCUUUUCAGAGGAACCUGUUCUUUAAUUGAUAAACCACAAUAAAUUUUACUUUUAUUUUGCUUAUAUAUCUCUAUCAUUGAAUGUUUUAUGAAAAUUAUUUUCUGAGUGGUUUUUUAACCUAAAUGUUAGGUCAAGGUUUAGUAAUAUAAAAGUAGAAAUGGGUUACAUUAUUUAUAUAUAAUAUUGAUUAUAAUAUGGAAAUUUAUAUGAUUUUGGAUUUGAUAGUAAAUUUUUUUAGAAAAAGAAGUUGAUAUUGGCUCUAUAUUAUGUACAUAUCGCCCGUCGCUCCUAAUUUAGGAUAAGUCGUAACAAAGUAGAUUUAUUGGAAAAUGAAUCUAGAAUGU